rnacentral:rRNA from 1 species
GAUGAACGCUGGCGGCGUGCCUAAUACAUGCAAGUCGAGCGAACAGAUGAGGAGCUUGCUCCUCUGACGUUAGCGGCGGACGGGUGAGUAACACGUGGAUAACCUACCUAUAAGACUGGGAUAACUUCGGGAAACCGGAGCUAAUACCGGAUAAUAUAUUGAACCGCAUGGUUCAAUAGUGAAAGACGGUUUUGCUGUCACUUAUAGAUGGAUCCGCGCCGCAUUAGCUAGUUGGUAAGGUAACGGCUUACCAAGGCAACGAUGCGUAGCCGACCUGAGAGGGUGAUCGGCCACCCUGGAACUGAGACACGGUCCAGACUCCUACGGGAGGCAGCAGUAGGGAAUCUUCCGCAAUGGGCGAAAGCCUGACGGAGCAACGCCGCGUGAGUGAUGAAGGUCUUCGGAUCGUAAACCUCUGUUAUUAGGGAAGACCAAAUGUGUAAGUAACUAUGCACGUCUUGACGGUACCUAAUCAGAAAGCCACGGCUAACUACGUG